rnacentral:rRNA from 1 species
UACGGAGGAUGCAAGCGUUAUCCGGAUUCAUUGGGUUUAAAGGGUGCGUAGGCGGACUAUUAAGUCAGUGGUGAAAGCCUGCAGCUUAACUGCAGAACUGCCAUUGAUACUGAUAGUCUUGAGUUUGGUUAAGGUAGGCGGAAUGUGUAAUGUAGCGGUGAAAUGCUUAGAUAUUACACAGAACACCAAUUGCGUAGGCAGCUUACUGAGCCGACACUGACGCUGAGGAGCGAAAGCAUGGGUAGCGAA